UACAGAGGGUGCGAGCGUUAAUCGGAAUUACUGGGCGUAAAGCGCACGUAGGUGGCGACGUAAGUCGGGUGUGAAAGCCCCGGGCUCAACCUGGGAAUUGCAUUCGAGACUGCAUUGCUGGAGUACGGAAGAGGAGGGCGGAAUUCCCGGUGUAGCGGUGAAAUGCGUAGAUAUCGGGAGGAACAUCAGUGGCGAAGGCGGCCCUCUGGUCCAGUACUGACACUCAAGUGCGAAAGCGUGGGGAGCAAGCAGG
rnacentral:rRNA from 1 species